rnacentral:rRNA from 1 species
AUUGAACGCUGUCGGCAUGCCUUACAAAUGCAAGUCGAACGAGUGGCGGACGGGUGAGUAAUGUCUGGGAAACUGCCUGAUGGAGGGGGAUAACUACUGGAAAGGGUAGCUAAUACCGCAUCACCUCGGGUGGGCCCAGAUGGGAUUAGCUAGUAGGUGGGGUAACGGCUCACCUAGGCGACGAUCCCUAGCUGGUUUGAGAGGAUGACCAGCCACACUGGAACUGAGACACGGUCCAGACUCCUACGGGAGGCAGCAGUGGGGAAUAUUGCACAAUGGGCGCAAGCCUGAUGCAGCCAUGCCGCGUGUAUGAAGAAGGCCUUCGGGUUGUAAAGUACUUGCAGCGGGGAGGCGUUACCCGCAGAAGAAGCACCGGCUAACUCCGGGCCAGCAGCCGCGGUAAUAC